rnacentral:rRNA from 1 species
CUCAUAGCGUAUAUUUAAGUUGUUGCAGUUAAAAAGCUCGUAGUCGGAUUUUGGCUGAGAACGGUCGGUCCGCCGUUAGGUGUGCACUGACUGGUCUCAGCUUCCUGGUGAGGAGGUGUGCUUCAUCGCCACUUAGUCACCGUGGUUACUUUGAAAAAAUUAGAGUGUUCAAAGCGGGCUUACGCUUGAAUAUAUUAGCAUGGAAUAACACCAUAGGACUCCUGUCCUAUUUCGUUGGUCUCGGGACGGGAGUAAUGAUUAAGAGGAACAGUUGGGGGCAUUCGUAUUUCAUUGUCAGAGGUGAAAUUCUUGGAUUUAUGAAAGACGAACUUCUGCGAAAGCAUUUGCCAAGGAUGUUUUCAUUGAUCAAGAACGAAAGUUGGGGGCUCGAAGAUGGUUAGAUACCAUCCUAGUCUCAACCAUAAACGAUGCCGACUAGGGAUUGGCGGAUGUUAAUUGAUGACUUCGCCAGCACCUUAUGAGAAAUCAAAGUUUUUGGGUUCCGGGGGGAGUAUGGUCGCAAGGCUGAAACUUAAAGGAAUUGACGGAAGGGCACCACCAGGCGUGGAGCCUGCGGCUUAAUUUGACUCAACACGGGGAAACUUACCAGGUCCAGACAUAGUAAGGAUUGACAGAUUGAGAGCUCUUUCUUGAUUCUAUGGGUGGUGGUGCAUGGC